AGUCGGUUCUUGGGAAUUUCAAUGACCAUGAGUAUCCAGUGAAAGCUGUUCAUUACACACAUAUAUAUAGUGAGGCCUAUAACUAUAUAAAACCCGAAUCAAUCAAGUAAUAAUAAGUAAAAUAAAAUGUGCAUGCACUUAAUAACUAUAUAACUCACUCAAAGUUGUAGGGGAAGAGUAUUUUUUGUUUUUCUUUUUGGUUCAUGAAGAACCUCAUAAUAUUGGUUCAGACUUCUGUCUCAUGAGAUGCUGUCCACACUACCUGCGGAGCCUUGAAAAUAAUAUAAGGGCCAACGGACCCAAUACUAUUGUCAUUUUUGCUUUUGAGCUCUCUCAUUUGGUGCCUACAUAUACACAUACAAAUCUUAAGUGUGUAAGGAUUAUAUACAUAUAAUUAAAGAAGGUAGAAGUUUAAUAAAAAAAGAAAGAAAUACUUACAAACAAAAGCAGCUGAUGAGAGAUUUGUCGAGAGCGUCGAGGUGAUAUAAUUGGUACAAUUCUUCUAACUGGACGUAUAUGAGUUCAUCUCCAUGGAAGU
rnacentral:lncRNA from 1 species